AUUGAACGCUGGCGGCAGGCCUAACACAUGCAAGUCGAGCGGGAACUUCGGUUCUAGCGGCGGACGGGUGAGUAAUGCGUAGGAAGCUACCCGACAGAGGGGGAUACCAGUUGGAAACGACUGUUAAUACCGCAUAAUGUCUACGGACCAAAGUGUGGGACCUUCGGGCCACAUGCUGUCGGAUGCGCCUACGUGGGAUUAGCUAGUUGGUGAGGUAAUGGCUCACCAAGGCGACGAUCCCUAGAUGGUUUGAGAGGACGAUCAGCCACACUGGAACGGAGAAACGGUCCAGACUCCUACGGGAGGAAGCAGUGGGGAAUAUUGGACAAUUGGCGCAAGCUUGAUCCAGCCAUGCCGCGUGUGUGAAGAAGGCCUUCGGGUUGUAAAGCACUUUCAGUAGGGAGGAAGAGUUGAGUGUUAAUAGUACUCAGCUUUGACGUUACCUACAGAAGAAGCACCGGCUAACUCUGUGCCAGCCGCCGCGGUAAGAC
rnacentral:rRNA from 1 species